rnacentral:rRNA from 1 species
GACGAACGCUGGCGGCGUGCCUAAUACAUGCAAGUGGAACGCUGAAGAGAGGAGCUUGCUCUUCUUGGAUGAGUUGCGAACGGGUGAGUAACGCGUAGGUAACCUGCCUUGUAGCGGGGGAUAACUAUUGGAAACGAUAGCUAAUACCGCAUAACAAUGGAUGACACAUGUCAUUUAUUUGAAAGGGGCAAUUGCUCCACUACAAGAUGGACCUGCGUUGUAUUAGCUAGUAGGUGAGGUAAUGGCUCACCUAGGCGACGAUACAUAGCCGACCUGAGAGGGUGAUCGGCCACACUGGGACUGAGACACGGCCCAGACUCCUACGGGAGGCAGCAGUAGGGAAUCUUCGGCAAUGGGGGCAACCCUGACCGAGCAACGCCGCGUGAGUGAAGAAGGUUGUCGGAUCGUAAAGCUCUGUUGUAAGUCAAGAACGGGUGUGAGAGUGGAAAGUUCACACUGUGACGGUAGCUUACCAGAAAGGGACGGCUAACUACGUG